AAAAAAAGUUUAAUGAAUGUCGGGGGGAACAAUUUUUUUUGUACCCCCUUUGGCGUUAUUCAACCAACCCGCUCUUGUAUUUUGUAUCAAACCAAAAACUUUUUUAAAAAUACUAAUAAAAUAGUAAUGUUAAAAA
rnacentral:misc_RNA from 1 species